rnacentral:rRNA from 1 species
CCCUUAGAUGUUCUGGGCUGCACGCGCGCUACACUGAAGCUAUCAACACGUUUUCCCUCCCUGAGAAGGGCGGGUAACCUUUUGAAUCAGCUUCGUGGUAGGGAUCGGGGCUUGCAAUUGUUCCCCGUGAACCAGGAAUUCCUAGUAGACACGAGUCAUAAGCUCGCAUCGAUUAAGUCCCUGCCCUUUGUACACACCGCCCGUCGCUACUACCGAUUGAACGUUUUAGUGAGGCAUUUGGACCGACGCAUCUCAGUUUAACCGCUGGUUUGUGUUGGAAAGACUUCCAAACUUGAGCGUUUAGAGGAAGUAAAAGUCGUAACA